AUUGAACGCUGGCGGCAGGCCUAACACAUGCAAGUCGAGCGAGCGGCGGACGGGUGAGUAAUGUAUGGGGACUGCCCGAUAGAGGGGGAUAACUACUGGAAACGGUGGCUAAUACCGCAUACUAUCGGAUAACCCAUAUGGGAUUAGCUAGUCGGUGGGGUAAAGGCUCACCUAGGCGACGAUCUCUAGCUGGUCUGAGAGGAUGAUCAGCCACACUGGGACGGAGACACGGACCAGAAUCCUACGGAGGCAUCAGUGGGGAAUAAUGAACAAGGGGCUCAAGCCGUAUGCAGCCAUGCCGCAGGUAUGAAGAAGGCCUUAGGGUUGUAAAGUAAUUACAGCGGGGAGGCGUUACCCGCAGAAGAAGCACCGGCUAACUCCGUGCCAGCAGCCGCGGUAAUUG
rnacentral:rRNA from 1 species